UACGAAGGGGGGCUAGCGUUGUUCGGAAUUACUGGGCGUAAAGGGCGCGUAGGCGGUUUGUCGCGUCUGCCGUGAAAGUCCGGGGCUCAACUCCGGAUCUGCGGUGGGUACGGGCAGACUAGAGUGAUGUAGGGGAGACUGGAAUUCCUGGUGUAGCGGUGAAAUGCGCAGAUAUCAGGAGGAACACCGAUGGCGAAGGCAGGUCUCUGGGCAUUAACUGACGCUGAGGAGCGAAAGCAUGGGGAGCGAACGGG
rnacentral:rRNA from 1 species